rnacentral:rRNA from 1 species
UGGGGAAUUUUGGACAAUGGGCGCAAGCCUGAUCCAGCCAUGCCGCGUGCGGGAAGAAGGCCUUCGGGUUGUAAACCGCUUUUGUCAGGGAAGAAAAGGUUCUGGCUAAUACCUGGGACUCAUGACGGUACCUGAAGAAUAAGCACCGGCUAACUACGUGCCAGCAGCCGCGGUAAUACGUAGGGUGCAAGCGUUAAUCGGAAUUACUGGGCGUAAAGCGUGCGCAGGCGGUUAUGCAAGACAGAGGUGAAAUCCCCGGGCUCAACCUGGGAACUGCCUUUGGGACUGCAUGGCUAGAGUACGGUAGAGGGGGAUGGAAUUCCGCGUGUAGCAGUGAAAUGCGUAGAUAUGCGGAGGAACACCGAUGGCGAAGGCAAUCCCCUGGACCUGUACUGACGCUCAGGCACGAAAGCGUGGGGAGCAAACAGG